rnacentral:rRNA from 1 species
AUGAAGCCCCCCUCAAGAUGAGAUUUCCCAUUACGCAAGUAAGUAAGACCCCUGAAAGACGAUCAGGUAGAUAGGUUCGAGGUGGAAGUGCGGUGACGCAUGCAGCUGACGAAUACUAAUCGGUCGAGGACUUAACCACAUUUUAUU